AAGUCGUAACAAGGUCUCCGUAGGUGAGUAAGGCCCGUACCAUACUUAGUUUUUUGAUAGAUUGAAACAAUGCUAACUUCUUUCAAGGUGAACCUGCGGAGGGAUCAUUACCGAGUGAGGGUCCUCGCGCCCGACCUCCAACCCUUUGUGAACCAACCACUGUUGCCUCGGGGGCGACCCGGCCCUUCGGCGUCGGGCCCCCGGUGGACCCAUCGAUAACUCUGCGUCUCUGCGUCUGAGUCUCAUGAUAAAUCAAUCAAAA
rnacentral:misc_RNA from 1 species